AAGUUUUAACGAGAAGCUGUCGCCGGAUCCGCCAGGUGUUAAAGUAGCCGACACCUGUACAGGAUAUACGUACACCCCGACCAAUGACUUGGCACCUGAAGUUAGGAAAUCGAUAGAAUUAGACCAAUCCGACCAAGAUGCAGUCAAUGAAAGCCGAUGAACUGCCGGAGAAUCCGCGCGAGACGUCGAACAUCUUCUCAUCCCUGAUGUU
rnacentral:sRNA from 1 species